UCUAAAAUUAUCACAGAAGAAAAAAGUUUUUAUAUUUAUUUAUCAAAACAGAGUUAGGAAACAUGAUCUCUUGGUAUCUAAUCUUUGCACUCUUGGUUGCGACGAGCGUAUGUCAAGGACCAUCUUACGAUGGAAGCAAACCUAUAGGGUAUCCUGCUUUUGAGGAGAAAGCAAAAGAGUCUACGAGCGCUAGAGAUGAACCAAGGAUGGCACCUGGAACUACAACAAUGUCGACACCAGUGAUAGCAACGAGGCUACCCAUUGGGGCUUUUAGAGACAGAAGUCUGCUUGAAACCCUUUCCAAACUGCCUUUAGAUAAACAGCCAGUGUGGUUGGAAAAUUGGAAAAAAUUGGAAGAAAAUAGACCUAUACCGAAAACUUAUUAACUCAAACCAAAUUUGUAACUACAUCCCAUAUACCCACAUCUCGUCCUCGACCCGGACGAUAUCUUUAUUAACCAAAAUUUCAUUAACAAAUGUAAUGUCAUUGUCUUUUCUUAAAUACGUUUUAAAUAAAUUUACUUUGUGGUUAAUUGAUUUUUAAUGUAAUAAGCAACUUAUCAGAAUAUUCAUUGUUUACGCCGAAUAAAAAUAAAAAGGAUUAAAAACAAAAUGUUG